UCUGUGAUUCGCUGUCGCAGCCGCUAUGGCCAGGUGUGCUCAGACCUGUAAGAGGCCCUUCCAGUUCUUGGCAGGAAGGACCUCUCUGGAAAGGAUGCUGCUGGAAACCCAGGCUGAGCAAAGAUGCAACAGAGGGUCACUAGGACAGGGGGUUUGGAGAGGCCUUUACCAUCACAGUUCACGUCGGCUAACUAUGCGUGUUGCUUCAUGUUACUAUGUGCCUGACCAGGCACCUCUGGGAAGGAUGCAUGCCCCCAUGCUGUCUCCAUUUAUUGGUUGAAGAAAUACAAGGACUAAAUGGUGGCCUUAAGAAUGAUCUUAAACAAAUGCAGA